rnacentral:rRNA from 1 species
UACGGAGAGAGCUAGCGUUGUUCGGAAUUAUUGGGCGUAAAGCGCGCGCAGGCGGUUUCUUAAGUCUGAUGUGAAAGCCCACGGCUCAACCGUGGAGGGUCAUUGGAAACUGGGGAACUUGAGUGCAGAAGAGAAAAGCGGAAUUCCACGUGUAGCGGUGAAAUGCGUAGAGAUGUGGAGGAACACCAGUGGCGAAGGCGGCUUUUUGGUCUGUAACUGACGCUGAGGCGCGAAAGCGUGGGGAGCAAACAGG